rnacentral:rRNA from 1 species
GGACUACUGGGGUUUCUAAUCCUGUUUGAUCCCCACGCUUUCGUGCCUCAGCGUCAAUAUUCGUGUAGUGAGCUGCCUUCGCAAUCGGUGUUCUAUGUCAUAUCUAAGCAUUUCACCGCUACAUGACAUAUUCCGCUCACCUCCAUGACAUUCAAGAUACAUAGUAUCAAUGGCAGUUCUCGAGUUAAGCUCGAGGAUUUCACCACUGACUUACAUACCCGCCUACGCACCCUUUAAACCCAGUGAAUCCGGAUAACGCUUGCACCCUCCGUAUUACCGCGGCUGCUGGCAC